GGGCCCGCACAAGCGGUGGAGCAUGUGGUUUAAUUCGAUGCAACGCGAAGAACCUUACCUACACUUGACAUGCUGAGAAGUUACUAGAGAUAGUUUCGUGCCUUCGGGAACUCAGACACAGGUGCUGCAUGGCUGUCGUCAGCUCGUGUCGUGAGAUGUUGGGUUAAGUCCCGCAACGAGCGCAACCCUUGUCCUUAGUUGCCAGCCUUAAGUUGGGCACUCUAAGGAGACUGCCGGUGACAAACCGGAGGAAGUGGGGACGACGUCAGUCAUCAUGGCCCUUACGUGUAGGGCUACACACGUGCUACAAUGGCAUUUACAGAGGGAAGCGAGACAGUGAUGUGAGCGGA
rnacentral:rRNA from 1 species